UACAGAGGGUGCGAGCGUUAAUCGGAAUUACUGGGCGUAAAGCGCGUGUAGGCGGCUAAGCAAGUCGGGCGUGAAAUCCCAUGGCUCAACCAUGGAAGUGCACCCGAAACUGCAUAGCUAGAGUCCUGGAGAGGAAGGUGGAAUGCUUGGUGUAGAGGUGAAAUUCGUAGAUAUCAAGCGGAACACCGGUGGCGAAGGCGGCCUUCUGGACAGUGACUGACGCUGAGACGCGAAAGCGUGGGGAGCAAACAGG
rnacentral:rRNA from 1 species